GUUAUUUUCUCUGAUGAAGCUCCCUUCCAACUGUUUGGGACAUCUGGAAAAAGAAGAAAAGGUGAACGCUACCAUGAGUCCUGUGUCAUGCCAACAGUGAAGCAUCCUGAGACCAUCCAUGUGUGGGGUUGCUUUUCAUCCAAGGGAGUGGGCUCUCUAAUAAUUCUGCCCUAAAACACUGCCCUGAUUAAAGAAUGGUAUCAAAAUGUCCUGCAAGAGCGACUUCUUCCAACGAUCCAUGAGCAAAUUGGCGAUGAUCCGUGCAUUUUCCAGCAUGAUGGAGCACCAUGUCACAAAGCAAGAGUGAUAAAGAAGUGGCUCGAAGAUCAUUACAUUGAAAUUUUGGAUCCGUGGCCAGGCAACUCCCCAGAUCUCAAUCCCAUAGAGAACCUGUGGUGAUUUCAGAGCCUGUUUCACAUCUACAUGUGCAACAGAGGUUGAUCAGUUUUUCCAAAUCACAAAUGUUGCCACUGACAUGGACUUCUUAGCUGUCAGCCAUGAAAAAGAUACACGCACUAUGCAAAUAGCCACAUCCGAAAAGAACACCAUUACUGAAGUAUGCAUGUCUGAUUUAGAUGUCCUCGCUGAGGUAUCGGAUUGUUGGAGGAAUUUAUAAAGCUAAAAGAGACAACAAAUGAGCUGAAACAGCUGAAGAGUAGAAAGGCAAGCCCUAGUCCUGGCGGUGAGCACUGCAGGAGAGUUUGUGAGUGUGACUGUGUCCAACAGCUGAGAAGAGCAGAAUUGUGUCUUCUCGCUCUUCAGUUUGUCAUGUGUCUGCAGCACUGCUGGAGACAUUUCUUCACCUCCCCACUGGGUCAAAAUCCUCUUUGGGGGACUGAGGGCCUGCCAGACAGCAAAGCAGAAACACUGAACAAACUACAGAGAGAUGAGGAAACAGACUCUAGCAGGCUCUCCUCUGGAUAACCUUAAGCCCCUGUCAGUAGACUCUGAAAAGACAACUACAAGGGCAAUCUACAGCCCCGCAUUGGGACUGAUGAAGAUGAAUCAAAGCAAAGUUCCCUCUUGUGCAUUACAAGCUUGCCCUGCAAUACUACUGAGGUAGAGUGCAAACUUUUCAGUGAAGUUACUUAUGGCCUCUAGGGGGCAGCAGGCACCACUAAAUGUUCUAUUUACUCUAGCGUGAAGUGCUGAUUUGGUUUGAGAAGUACAAUACCACAAAUCUCCACUUUCAGCAACAGUAUGAGGGCAGCUAUUGUCUAUGUCAAGAGCCAAAGUGAUGCCAAGGCAGCAGUUAAAGACCUAAAUGGGUGUUCCCUUCAAGGCCACACUGUCCAGUUGGUGCGGCUCUGUGGGCUUGGCUCAGCUGAUCCUAAACUGAUCAGUGAUCAGUCCCACAGCACCUCAGAAACCUAUGAAGCUGAAACCGCAGGGGGUGGACUGGGAGCUAAAGGUGUAACCUACAGUUCAUCACAUGGAGCCGCCAGAGGAUCGUAGAUGCCCUGCUGGAACUGUGGGCCAAGCAUCAGGGUUUCUUCAGUGGGAUUCCUUUGAGAUCUAUAGUGGAUCUGACCUCCGAGCUUCUCACACAGGCCUCUACCCCAUCAUGUAUUUGAGUUUGUGCUGUUUUAAGCAGUGAUAAAGGUCUUGUAAAUAGUUCCCUGACCAGUAUGACUGGAUUUCAGUUGUCAGUUAAAUUUUUGCAACUCAUUUUUAUGUUAUGUACAGCCAUUUCGUUGUAAUUCUUUAAUCAGAGCAUUUCCUUCUCUUGGAACUGGAGUAAAUUUUGAGUUAAUUUCAGGUUUUUCAGGUUUUCAUCUCUGCUGUUGUCAGUUAUGAAUAAAAGUUUCCCUGUUUCCUGAAUAAAGCAGUUUUCCUGUGUUUCCUAUAAUGAUUUGAUGAGUGCAAGCCCAGGCACAGUGUAGAGCUGCUCAUUUCAAAUUUCAGAGCUUUUCAAGCCAUCUGACAAUGGU
ensembl:lncRNA